UACGUAGGGGGCUAGCGUUGUCCGGAAUCAUUGGGCGUAAAGAGCGUGUAGGCGGCCCGGUAAGUCCGCUGUAAAAGUCAAAGGCUCAACCUUUGAAUGUCAGUGGAUACUGCCGAGCUAGAGUCCGGGAGGGGAGAGCGGAAUUCCUAGUGUAGCGGUGAAAUGCGCAGAUAUUAGGAAGAACACCGGUGGCGAAGGCGGCUCUCUGGAACGGUACUGACGCUGAGACGGCGAAAGCGUGGGGAGCGAACAGG
rnacentral:rRNA from 1 species